rnacentral:tRNA from 1 species
GGAGAUAGAGCUCAGUUGGUAGAGUAUUGUCUAACAUGCACAAGGCCCUGGGCUCAAUCCCCAGCACCACCA